rnacentral:miRNA from 1 species
AGUCCAUCACAGAGCAGCUCGCUUUAUUAGUAAAGGCAAGCUGCCCUUUGAAGGGCUGU